rnacentral:tRNA from 1 species
GACCUCUUAGCUCAGUGGUAGAGCGUGAGAUUCCAGCUUGUUGGCACCUCCUCAAGGUCAUCCGUUCAACUCGGGUAGGGGUCA